GGUGAACUCCACAUACGCAUCCUUUGCUGAGGAUACGGUUAACGGAGCGCAAGCGACGUUCAACCUCAAAAGAAGCAGAGGGGGCUUAGUGGUGGGGUGACUGCGUACCUUUUGUAUAAUGGGUCAGCGACUUAUAUUCUGUAGCAAGGUUAACCGAAUAGGGGAGCCGGAGGGAAACCGAGUCUUAAUUGGGCGUUAAGUUGCAGGGUAUAGACCCGAAACCCGGUGAUCUAGCCAUGGGCAGGUUGAAGGUUGGGUAACACUAACUGGAGGACCGAACCGACUAAUGUUGAAAAAUUAGCGGAUGACCUGUGGCUGGGGGUGAAAGGCCAAUCAAACCGGGAGAUAGCUGGUUCUCCCCGAAAGCUAUUUAGGUAGCGCCUCGUGAAUUCAUCUCCGGGGGUAGAGCACUGUUUCGGCUAGGGGGCCAUCCCGGCUUACCAACCCGAUGCAAACUGCGAAUACCGGAGAAUGUUAUCACGGGAGACACACGGCGGGUGCUAACGUCCGUCGUGAAGAGGGAAACAACCCAGACCGCCAGCUAAGGUCCCAAAGUCAUGGUUAAGUGGGAAACGAUGUGGGAAGGCCCAGACAGCCAGGAUGUUGGCUUAGAAGCAGCCAUCAUUUAAAGAAAGCGUAAUAGCUCACUGGUCGAGUCGGCCUGCGCGGAAGAUGUAACGGGGCUAAACCAUGCACCGAAGCUGCGGCAGCGACGCUGAUGCGUUGUUGGGUAGGGGAGCGUUCUGUAAGCCUGCGAAGGUGGCCUGUGAGGGUUGCUGGAGGUAUCAGAAGUGCGAAUGCUGACAUAAGUAACGAUAAAGCGGGUGAAAAGCCCGCUCGCCGGAAGACCAAGGGUUCCUGUCCAACGUUAAUCGGGGCAGGGUGAGUCGACCCCUAAGGCGAGGCCGAAAGGCGUAGUCGAUGGGAAACGGGUUAAUAUUCCCGUACUUGGUGUUACUGCGAAGGGGGGACGGAGAAGGCUAUGUUGGCCGGGCGACGGUUGUCCCGGUUUAAGCGUGUAGGUGUGUGUUCCAGGUAAAUCCGGUUCACUUUAACACUGAGGCGUGACGACGAGGCACUACGGUGCUGAAGCAACAAAUGCCCUGCUUCCAGGAAAAGCCUCUAAGCAUCAGGUAACAUCAAAUCGUACCCCAAACCGACACAGGUGGUCAGGUAGAGAAUACCAAGGCGCUUGAGAGAACUCGGGUGAAGGAACUAGGCAAAAUGGUGCCGUAACUUCGGGAGAAGGCACGCUGACAUGUAGGUGAAGUGAUUUACUCAUGGAGCUGAAGUCAGUCGAAGAUACCAGCUGGCUGCAACUGUUUAUUAAAAACACAGCACUGUGCAAACACGAAAGUGGACGUAUACGGUGUGACGCCUGCCCGGUGCCGGAAGGUUAAUUGAUGGGGUCAGCGCAAGCGAAGCUCCUGAUCGAAGCCCCGGUAAACGGCGGCCGUAACUAUAACGGUCCUAAGGUAGCGAAAUUCCUUGUCGGGUAAGUUCCGACCUGCACGAAUGGCGUAAUGAUGGCCAGGCUGUCUCCACCCGAGACUCAGUGAAAUUGAACUCGCUGUGAAGAUGCAGUGUACCCGCGGCAAGACGGAAAGACCCCGUGAACCUUUACUAUAGCUUGACACUGAACAUUGAGCCUUGAUGUGUAGGAUAGGUGGGAGGCUUUGAAGUGUG
rnacentral:rRNA from 1 species